rnacentral:rRNA from 1 species
UACGGAGGGGGCUAGCGUUGUUCGGAAUUACUGGGCGUAAAGCGCGCGUAGGCGGCUUCGUAAGUUAGAGGUGAAAGCCCGGAGCUCAACUCCGGAACUGCCUUUAAGACUGCAUCGCUAGAAUUGUGGAGAGGUGAGUGGAAUUCCGAGUGUAGAGGUGAAAUUCGUAGAUAUUCGGAAGAACACCAGUGGCGAAGGCGACUCACUGGACACAUAUUGACGCUGAGGUGCGAAAGCGUGGGGAGCAAACAGG